rnacentral:rRNA from 1 species
GAGUUUGAUUCUGGCUCAGGACGAACGCUGGCGGCGUGCUUAACACAUGCAAGUCGAACGAAAUUAAAAAAUUAUCAUUGAGCUCUCCGAUGAGAUGGGGGGCCAAGCGUCGUGACCGCGCAGCGGGCACCACGCGUUCAACAAGUGCAACACCAAGUCGAAGGGUUGAAUGGUAAUUUUUUAAUUUAGUGGCAAACGGGUGAGUAACACGUAGACAACCUGCCGACAGGAUGGGGACAACAUUCCGAAAGGAAUGCUAAUACCGAAUGAAGUCGAGGGAAGGCAUCUUCCUUCGAUGAAAGAUGGCCUCUGAAGAUGCUAUCACCUGUCGAUGGGUCUGCGUCUGAUUAGCUAGUUGGUGAGGUAACGGCUCACCAAGGCGACGAUCAGUAGCCGGUCUGAGAGGAUGAACGGCCACAUUGGGACUGAGACACGGCCCAGACUCCUACGGGAGGCAGCAGUGGGGAAUCUUCCGCAAUGGGCGCAAGCCUGACGGAGCAACGCCGCGUGAGUGAAGAAGGUCUUCGGAUCGUAAAGCUCUGUUGAUGGGGACGAACGUGCGAAGGGUGAAUAAUCCUUUGCAA